rnacentral:rRNA from 1 species
UCGGUAACGGAUGGCUAUGCGUCCCAUUAGCUAGUUGGCAGGGUAACGGCCUACCAAGGCAGCGAUGGGUAGGGGCCCUGAGAGGGGGAUCCCCCACACUGGUACUGAGACACGGACCAG